rnacentral:misc_RNA from 1 species
AUUUAAGGUCCAUUGAAUUUUUAAAGAGAGGAAGCAGAAGGAGGAGGAGGAGGAGACAAGGCCUGUUUGUUCUCUUUAAAAAUUCAAUGGACCUUAAAUGUGGAAAAAUCAUUAAAAAGCAAAAAUAAAUGGACAUCUCGAUACACAUACAAUAAGAGCUUGCUUACCAUGGAUAUCAUGAUUCAUGAGCUCCAUCCACUGUCUUCAACACCAUUCCUUUAAGACUCUUUGCUAACCAGAUAGCUGUCUCCCUUGGGGAAACCUUGUCUUUCCCAAAAGGUUUCAAAACUACAGCAAGCUCUUCCAAUCUGUUUUGCUCCAGCAACUCAGCAGACAAUUCUAAAAGCCCUUCAAGUGCCUCCGCCCUCUGCCUAAAGGACUUAACAUCUAAAGUUUCCUUUGCUGGUGCUUCCUCUUCUAUAACGAGGGAGUUGGGUUUUGUUGGCUCAGAAGCACCUGAUGUUGGAACUGAAGGAAUCACAUUUUUAUUAUCCAUUUCCUUAGUGCCAGAAUGAUCUGAAAUAUUUGAUUUCAAAGAAUGAUCUGAGAUAGUUGAUUUUGAACCCAUAGUUUCAGCACAACUUGAUGAUUUAAGCGUCACAGGGGUAGUCAUGUUUCUCAUCUCCAAUUCAUCUCUUACUACAUUUAAUAGCUUCCCAACAUCCACAUUUUGAACCCCCAUCUCCACAGUUUCCAUAACUGGCUGCUCACUCCCAACACGAAAACUACUGUGCCGAAUAACAUGUAUAACAUCAUCAAAAGCAGGAGGAAGAUGUCCAGCACUUGGCUUCUCAGUCAUUGGGUUUUGCAAAAUGACUCCUUUCUCUGGCUGAAAAUUCUUCGGGCUAGUAGAUAUUACCGAGGCAACAGAAGCAGUUUGCGGAACUGAUGAUAGAAGUUCUCUUACAGUGAACUUGUCAUCACCACUAGAUGUAGAUGUAAGAUUUGAUUGGACCACAUUAUCAGGCCUGCUUGUGAGGGUAUCAUCUUCACAAAUUGGAACUUCUUCAGAGCUUGUGACUGAUGGAUCCAGAGUGGCACUUGAACUCACUUUUCCAUCACCAGCAACAGUAUUCUUCUGAGGAUCAAGGACCACCCCAGGCUUUGAGGUUUCAGAUGAGUGAGCUACAGAUUUAUAACCACAUCCACAGUUUUCCUCAGACAAAUUUGAUGACUUGGAAUGUGAAGAGGAAGCAAGUGAGCAGCUGGGUGCAUGUAAUUCUAAGUUUUUCAUGAGUUCAGCAUGAGGAAUUGUUUGUUCAGUCAUGUCAACAAAUGGAGUUGUUGUAUCAUCACAAAGCUCAAAUGCUUGAACUGACACUGAAGAUGAGACAGAAUUACUUCUAUCUGUAUGCAUUCCUCUGGAAGCUCCAACUACAGCCUUCUGAGUCUCUUCUCUUACCUCAUUUGGAUAAUGUAAAAGAGGACCAUCAGGAACUUGAUAAUGAGUAUUUUCAGGUUCUUGGGUUAUCUCAUUUGGACUUAAUUUCAUGGUGUUAGUGAUGCCAUUUGGAACAUCAGUUCCCGCCUGCCUUGUCCGUCCAGGAAAUGCACAUCGCCUAACCAGAUUGGAAGGAGGAGUUUUUUGUCCUUGCUUUACAGGAAGUCCAUCAUCAACAUGCUUUAAUGGACCAGAUGGAGGAAAACCAUCAUUUCUAGGUUUAAUCUUUGGCGUAGAGUCAAUUAUUGGUAACUGGUGCUUCAAAGGAUGUGAUCCUUGAAUCCGCUUUGCAGAAUCAAACGCAACCUUUGAUGGAGAAAUAGUUGGUGCAUCUGCAUUAGCNAAGUAAGGGCAUUGGGUUUGAGAACUUUGGGAGGCACUUCAGUGUUACUUCUUUGAGAACCUGCAACCUUUAUACGGUUGCCUCUCAUUGGAGAACCAUUUUCUCUAGCUUUUCCUUCUUUUAAGGCCAACAUAAUACUUCUAAUGGUCUUUGGUUGCUUUGAUUCAACACUGGAUCCAUGCUCAUCAUGACAUGGUUUCACCAUCCUAUUUUCAUCCGUCUUAACAGUGCAUAAGUUGGGGCUAUUUCCUUCUUUACUUGGCAUGUGCUGUUCAUCAUCAUCUUCAUCAUGAAUAGAAGCUAAAUCUGUAUCACUGGCUUUGUGCUCACAAUUUGAGACCAUUACUGGGACAUUUCUAUCACUGGAAAGCAAACUAUCUUUAUCACUACUAGAACUAUUACUGUUCUGGCUUUCAGCCAUAUUUUUCCGGGAAUCCUGACAGUUAGAAAUGGGCUUCUCAGGGGAACAGGUAGCUGGGGGAGUGAAGGAUGGACGAUAAUGAUCAACAAAAGGCUGCAAGUAAGGAUGCUUCAAAACCUCUGAAGCACUAGGUCGAUGCUCAGGGUUCUUUCUCAGCAUGCCUUUGAUCAACAUUUUCAAGGCUGGAGAGUAGCAAGAAGGCAAAGGGCCAAUUGAGGAGCGAUUUAUCUUGCUUAUCAGUCCUGCCAUGUCAAAAGCUUUAAAAGCAGGGCGAUGAGCAGCCAUCUCAUACAUACAGCAUCCCAAAGACCAAAUGUCUGAUUUGAAACCAUAAGGAAUAUCUGCAAGGAGUUCAGGACACAUAUAAUUCGGAGUUCCAACCACCGAGGAGGCCAAGUCAUCUGCUUUCAACGUUUUAGCAAGUCCAAAAUCCCCAAGGCGAACAUCCUGAUCUUUGGUAAGAAAGAUGUUGGAACAUUUAAGGUCGCGAUGGAGAACGAAAUUGACAUGCAGAUAUUCAACAGCUAGCAGUAGUUGUGUGAACCACUUGCAGAGUUUCUCCUCAGGAAAAUAUACACCAUUUGAUUUUUUCAUUAAUUCAGCCAUGUCACCGCCUUCACAGUAUCCAGUGACAAUGCAAACGUAGCAA